ensembl:lncRNA
UGUUUCCGUAAUGCCUAGCAUGGCGCUCAAUGUGUGAUGAAUUGACAAACUGAUAACAACCUUAAUGGAAGCUUACAGAUCAAACAUUUGCCUAGCCUGCCAUCUGAAGCUCAUGGGUUUAGGGGAGAGAAAUACUUUGAGAAAAUCACAAAUGGUCCCCCACUAAAGAAGCUGUCAAAUGAAUGCCAGCUUGACAUAGUGGAGCUGCCUUCAUCUCACUUAGCAGCUGUCACUGUCUUGAAAGUUAAGGUGAAAAAACAAAAACAAAAGGUGAGCCCAGGAGGCCUCUGUCACUUUCUUUAGCCUAAAGAAAAACGGAGUAGCUAUGUUUAGUGUGGGCUUGCAGGCAGAGCAAGGGCACCAGAAGCAACGUAAGGAAGACUUUUGAAAGUCAGAGCCACCCAGCAGUUAACUGAUCUGCUUGAGAAUUUGAUGAGUUUCCCAUCACUGGAGGAAGCAGAGCCUAGGAGCCUGCUCUGCAGGAUGCUUUAGAUUCUUCUAGCCCAGCAAUGUAUUCACAGACCAUCCUGUUCAAGUUGUAAUCUCAGUCUGAAGUCCACCUGAACCCCAACCACAUUCUCUGAUCUCUCCUGAAACCCAGGACACAGAACAGCUCUCUGUCCAUAGAAGUGGAGAGGAGAAACUGAGAAAUGAGACUCCGCCUUCACAUAAGAACUCAAAGCAAAGUUUCCCUAAACUUCUAUUUCUGUCUCCCAGGGCCCCUUCUCAGCACCUGGGAUAGGUACUCAAUGAAGUUUGCUAAUGGUAAUACUGCUGGUGGUCAGGAGGUGCCUGGUUUGCAUUGGAGGAGAGAAGUGUGUUCCAAGAGAGGGAAAGAAACAGCACUAGCAAAAGGAUGGCAGUGAGACUGCUCGAGGGGCAGGGGAGACCGUGUUCCAAACAACAGGAGACGGGAAUAUGCAAGGAGAAGGCGGGGAAAUAACAAUGAACAAGCCAUAAAAAAACUAAAAGAAUAUAGAUUUGUCCUGUGUCUGUUCUGCUGCAUCCAGACCAGAACCUGGAUAGCUGCUAGGCUGGACUAGCUGGUGUGACAAACGCUUCUCAGAUUUUGGAGGCUGUACUUUUCCUCCCCUCAGCCCUCCUCUUUAUUCUUCUGUUUCUCCUCCUCACUGUAAGCUGUCCCUUGAGUUCUAUUCUGAACUCUUAAUGGUUUUUCCAUCUCGCUGGGGACAGUGUGCAAACCCUCCUUGGCUUGGCCUGAGUUGGGGCUGGGCCCAAUGCCGAUUCAGGCAAGCCGGAGAGAGGAGGUGGCUCCCAGCAAUAAGCAGCCCACAGAAUUGUGUCUGUUAUUUAAGAAAAAGUUUCUGGGUUUUCGGCUAAUUGCAAAAAUACAUAAUGGAUGCUUUUUGCAUCUGCUAGUUAUUCUCAAACAGGCCUGCAUCCAAGAGCAAACUUUAAACAAACAAUAAGAUUAUGGAGCUUAACUAUUUCAAUGUGUGACAGAAAAGAAAGCCAAGGCCCCCAAAUUUGCGUUAACACACAUGCUCUCAGACACGAGCAAUGGGACAACAGAUACGUAUACAAAUAUACAGAUGCACACCCUGGCAUCAGCACACACAAAUGCCUGCUUGGGUACUAGUACAUACACGCAUGCAAAAAUAAAAACGUGCCCAAUCACAGGCAUCAGCACACAUACUCAGACACAGACAAAUGCACUUGCAUGUACUCAUAUGGCCUUCCUUGGUGACUCAGAUGCAAUGCAGGAGACCCAGGUUCGAUCCCUGGGGUCGGGAAUAUCCCCUGGAGAAGAGCAUGGCUACCCACUCUAGUAUUCUUCCCUGGAGAAUUCCAUGGACAGAGGAGCCUGGCGGACUAUAUGGUCCAUGGGUUGCAAAGAGUCAUGUAUAUACCUACACAGUUGGGCAACACAAGCACACAGACACAC